GCAGGAGGUGGGGCGUCUGCGCUGCAGGGCUCAGAGCUUAAGGACCGAGAGACAAAGGCAGGAAUCCCGCCUCUUCCUGCUGCUUCCCGCCCACUCGGCAACUUCCCACCUACCCCGACUGUGCCGCCGGCCUUAAAGGCCUACUGAUGGAUGACCUCUGUGCCAGAAGCUACGAUCCCAGAGAAGAGAUAUUUGGGAGAGUGGGGGGCUCAAAAAAAUGAGUAAAGCGAGACUCAUAGAAAUUGAGUAGCUUGUCCUGCAGCCACAAAGCUAAGUCGGUGGAAGAACGGGGAUUCAUAUCCAGUCUGGAUCCAGGCCUCACACUCUUUUUCAUUAUUGAGUGGGGUCUUUCAUCUAUGGCUCUUUUCGGUCAUACUAGAGGAGCAAAAAAAGUACUUUUGCUUGAUGGCCCUAAAGCCUACUAGCUCCCUAGGAAAGCCUUCAGUCCGGCAAACCAAAUGUAAACCUUUGCAGCUGGGAUUUCCAUACCAUAACUGACUGGAGUGAAGGCUUCCACAAGAACUGGCACCAUGAACAAGCCCCCCGCAUGUUCAACCAGGGGAGCAGGCCUGCGCUGGGGCCUUUGCUGGGGCGGUAGGGGAAUAACAAUGGAGGUAGAUCUGAAGAAGCAAAUACAUUAAAAAAGCAUCACUCUGACCAUCCUCUUUGGGCGAAAGCCUGUUGGAUGGUGGAUGAACACAUUAUGCGACACAGAAACACCAAAGUUGCAUUGGGGGCACCGACAUUUUGUCCCAUCUUUCACUGGGGCACAGCAAUGGAUAGAUUCCUUGUACAAAGUGCAGAUGAGGAGACACCCAUGUGGUCUUGCGCCACCACCAUCCAUCUGAAGAAACGGUGGCCCUGGAAAGUCUGCUGUUUCUGAUUUUAACCUUACAGAUUGAAGGUGUGAGGAGGCCAAGGGCAGACAGCACGUCCCAGAGAUGGUCACCAUGAAACAACCCGCCCCUUACCACGUGACGUUGGUUGUCCUCCAUCAAGAGACGCAUGUUUCCUCUCCUGGAAUCCGAUGAGCCUAUUACUGCGGUGGAAGUGGCCCUAUGGGACUUCCACGCUUAGGUCUAAGAGGGGAUAUAGUUUCUGAUUUGGAGGAUGCUUCAUCAGUAAACUUAACCACCAUGUUGUGGGGAUGUCCAGGCCACACAGGGAGGCGCUUGGUAGGUGUUCCAGCUAUGACUUCAGCUGACAUUCCAGCCAAUGGCCAGAAUCCAUGGGCCAUGUAAGUGAAGGAACCUUUGAGAAGACUCCAGUACCAAACGCUGUCAGACUGAACUGGAAAAAAACUCUGAGAAUUGUUCCCCUGAGCUGAGGAAAACUUCAGAAUUGUGAGAGUUACUAAUAAUAAAAUGUUGUUUUUUUUAAGCCUCUAAGUUUUAAGGGGACACAUUAGGAAGUUGUAGAUGACUGGAACAAGAUAGAAUGUUCUUUUCAAUUCCCUAACUAAGUAGCCUUGUGGGCUCUAAGGAAUUCACAGCAUUCUGAUCACAGCAUUACACUAUGGAGCUAGAAGUCAGACUGCACUGCCAAUUAGGUAGUAAUCCGUACUCACCUUGACUUAGGUCUCAGUUCAGUCAAGACUACCAGGAAAACUAAAAAAGGCUGACAAUGUUAGGGGGAUAGUUAAAAAAAAAAAGACCAUAUAGUCCUGGCUGGUGUGGUUCAGUGGAUUGAGUGCCGGAUGCAAACCUAAGGGUUGCAAGUUCACUUGUGGGCCAGGUCCCCAGUGCGGUGCAUGUGAGAGGCAACCACACACUGAUGUUUCUUCUCUCCCUCUCUUUCUCCCUCCCUCCCUUUAUUUCUAAAAAUAAAUAAGUAAAAUCUUUUAAAAAAAGACUAUAUAGAAAAAGGCAGUUACAAUGUGAAAAAUAGUAUCAUUUUGAUUUUAAAAGUAUGUAUAUUUCUGUACAUAACUAAGCUCACUGGGAGCAUUGAUUUUUGUCUGUUUUAUUUAUGCUCUACACUCAAAGCCUGGAGUAGUUCCUGGCACAGAGACAUAGCAAGAAUAUGUUGAAUAAAUGAGUGAAUGUAAACACAUCUGGUAGACUAAGCACCAAAAUUUACUUUUGAUGAAUAGAAUUAUGUGUGGUUUUUCUUCUUUUUUUCUUCUUUGAUUUUUCUAACUUCUGUACCAUGGUCAUGGAUUACUUUUAUAUUGUACUUAUAAAGGGCUGUAGUGUUUUAUUCUAAAAUAAUAAAAAAUGCUAAAGACCUACAUAUAAGCAUAAUUCAAAUCUUUAAGCAAAAUAUUCUCAUAGGAAAAAAGACGCAUGAUAAUAA